UGGCACCGGGCGAGCGGCCGAACACGCAGCCGCCCGGAUUAGCAGCAUUAGCGGCCAGCGCCGAGCAACAAUUAAUCAUUUGCUGAAACUGUUCUGCUGUGACACCAGAAAGCAGUGCAGAUGUGGGUUUCACUGAGCAUCCAUGACAAAGCCUCGGCUCAGCUAAUGGAGACAGAAAAACUAAGGAGGCACAAGCACAAGUCAGAGUUCAAGCUCCAUCCAAGAUGACAGGAGACUGUUGCUGGAGACUUGGAAGGACACAAACCCUCAUGCUGGAACAGCUUCACCACCAGGGAAAAAUAACCCAAGAAACUAAAGAGGGAACCUCUUGCAACUUUAACCCUUGACAAAGGAUGUCUGAAAACAGUACCCAAGCAUUCCUGAGUGCAUGCAAUGAGUACAUUGUUAAAAGAGAGAGAAAAAAAUCAAAAGGUUUAAGACAUGGUUAUAUGUUUUACUACAUUUAGCCCAAAGCUUUAGAAUGAUUACAACAUCCAAAUCAGAAUUAAUCACUAAUACAUUCCCAUAACUUUGGAAACAUCAACCAGCAAUUAACUUGUGCAAGUUACUCUGUUUAUAAAACACCUAUGUAUUAAAAUGAAAGUCUGUGUGAUGAGUUAAUAAAACUACUUCCUUCCACUGAGCCUCCUCAGCACACACUAUUCUUCCCUUCUGCUGAGGCCAUCUCAGCUGCUGUGACAAUACAGACCUGCUCUGACUCCUGCUUCAUCUUCUGUCUCUCUGUACUGCCUUUGUAGUAGGUCACUAUCUGCUGUCACUCUCUUUACUCUCACUGUAGUAGUUUUAGGCUAAUGGCACAAAAGCACACAUUUUGGUUUUAGCAUUUUCUAUAGCUCCUUUGGUGAUCAUCUUCACCUACAUUAACUUUUGUGCAUUGUUUCAAUGUUGCCCCACGGCGUUUUGGAGCAAAACAAUCAUCCUGAUAUAUAUGUACAUCUUGCUUUUCACCUCACACCAUAAGCAUCACAUCUUCAAUACAGAGGGAUAGUCUGAUUCACCUCCAUGUCACCUUUCAUCUUUCCAGCUUUCCACUUCCUGGGCACAUUGAGAGCUGUGAUGAUCCUAACAACUCACAGGAGCUUUCUUUCUUGAUGGCACCUGGAGGUCCUGGCAAUUCCUCAGCUCUCUCCUCACUACCCACUUUCCAGGGACACAAACUGACACACUGUCCUCUGUGUGAAGGGCCACUGGGGAGAAGGGACUGCUGGAGCUUGACCUGCUGCUACUCUACCACUAUGUCCUUUCCAUCUCUCUGAAGACCAUUUUACUGGCUCUGCACUUUUGGCUGAUGGAUGCAUCAUACAUAACCCCCUCUCUGCUUGUACACACAGUGUUUGCCUGGCUUGCCCAGCGAGAUGGUUCAGUUUUGGAAGCACCAGGUGCAGCUGCUGGGACCGCUGGUUGGAGAAGCAUUUGCCUCCUGAGCCCGUUAAUUAGCACAGUAACGGUAACUGUGCUCCAUUAGCCAACCCAUGUGGUCAAGUCCCCUCUCCGUCCACCAACCUUGCCCUUAAUGAGAGCUGGAAGAGGGACACUCACAAAACACUGCCUCAGAAUAAUAUUCGGCUUUGUCCACGCCGGUAACGAGAGCUGACAGGAUCACUACGUCCAUUUCUCUUCUAAUUAGCACACUUCCAGCUCGGCCUGAGCCAGCAGCCAGAGAAAAGCGAUCGGACAACCGUACCGAAUCACAAACACAAAGAGGCCCAUUCCCCGUAAUUAGGUGAGACAAUCCCUCAGUCUUUUCUCGGCUGGAGCUUGCCGGUAAGACUCUCGCUGUUUUGGUAAGUCCCAGCAACACAAGUUACACGUCUCCCCAGGACACUAAUAAGCCCCUAAUUGUCUUCCGCUUCACACGGCUCGUACCAUAGGUCUGACUUGGGGGAAUUCUUCUAACGAGCGGCAGCCAGCACUCCCUGCGCCGCAGACGGACAGGGAGCCGCCUCUCGGGCACCGGCAGCAGAAGGGGGACGGGGAGAAACAGCCAGAAAAGCAAUCCAGGCGCUGGGGCCCAGCUACAUGGCACGGGGCCAGGAGCUGGGCAUCAGCCACACGGUGCUGGGGACAGGGGCCUUCUCCAUCUUUUUUCCAUCUCCACCAUCCACCUGCAUGGUGGAAACCUGACUUCAGCUCUCUAGACUGUCUUAUCCUCUGUCAUCUCCAGGUACACAGGUACUUGCACUUCCACACAGAAAUGCACCACCAAAACCAAACGUCUGGCUGCAAAGAUUUGCCUCCAGUCUCUGCUAAGGUUUGCUGCGAGCUGCCCUUAGAGAAAUGCUGCGCCUAGCAUGGGCUUUCCUCCAGUGAGGCCUCGCCAUGGGUCUGCCCCAGAGUCCAGGCCGGAAAGGAGCAUGUGUGCAAACAAGAUCCUAUCCGUUCUCAUGUAAAGGAACAUGUGCUGAGUCUUGCAGGACAGGUUUCUAAAGAUUCUCACAAAAUUAUUAAAAGCAUGAAUUGUGAGGUGGGUGUGAGACCCCAGCUCAAGCUCUCUUAACAAAACAAGGCAAAGAAAGACACAUAGUCCCUCUAAUUUUCAACCUGACACUUUCUUCAGAAACUGCCGUCAACCAAAUGUUUUUCAGCAAAACAUUUUCCCUAAUUUUUGAUUACAAGCUCAUAUUGAGCAAAAUAUCACAGCUGAUCCUGUUAAGGAUACUCUUGGCCUGCAGAUCCAUUUGCCUCCUGUGCAGCUGAUUACAAACUGAUCCCUUCUGCAAAUCAGGGCUCACCCUGAUUCCUCCCACAGCGGGCCUCAACAGAAGCAAUUUGUCCCAUUUUUACACGUGCUAUUUUGGCUUCAGUGUGCAAAACAGGGGGAAAAACCUAAGACAGGGUGACAAGCUCAUCCACACAGAGUACAAUAGA